rnacentral:tRNA from 1 species
GCAGGGGUGGUUCAGUGGUGGAAUUCUCGCCUUCCGUGUGGGAGACCUGGGUUUGAUUCCUGGCCAAUGCA